GUGAAUCAUCGAAUCUUUGAACGCACCUUGCGCCCCUUGGUAUUCCGAGGGGCACACCCGUUUGAGUGUCGUGAA
rnacentral:rRNA from 1 species